GGCUUAGAGUUUGAUCAUGGCUCAGGAUAAACGCUGGCGGCGCACAUAAGACAUGCAAGUCGAACGAACUUAACCUAUAGUUUACUAUUGGAGCGGUUAGUGGCGGACUGGUGAGUAACGCGUAAGCAAUCUGCCUAUCAGAGGGGAAUAACAGUGAGAAAUCACUGCUAAUACCGCAUAAGCUGUGAGUAUCGCAUGAUACAAGCAGAAAAGGAGCAAUCCGCUGAUAGAUGAGCUUGCGUCUGAUUAGUUAGUUGGCGAGGUAACGGCCCACCAAGACGAUGAUCAGUAGCCGGACUGAGAGGUUGAACGGCCACAUUGGGACUGAGAUACGGCCCAGACUCCUACGGGAGGCAGCAGUCGGGAAUAUUGCGCAAUGGAGGAAACUCUGACGCAGUGACGCCGCGUGCAGGAAGAAGGUUUUCGGAUUGUAAACUGCUUUAGACAGGGAAGAAGAAGUGACAGUACCUGUAGAAUAAGCUCCGGCUAACUACGUGCCAGCAGCCGCGGUAAUACGUAGGGAGCGAGCGUUAUCCGGAUUUAUUGGGUGUAAAGGGUGCGUAGAUGGAUAUGCAAGUUGGUUGUGAAAUACCUCGGCUUAACUGAGGAACUGCAACCAAAACUGUAAAUCUUGAGUACUGGAGGGGAAAGCGGAAUUUCUAGUGUAGCGGUGAAAUGCGUAGAUAUUAGGAAGAACACCGGUGGCGAAAGCCGCUUUUCUGGACAGAAACUGACAUUGAGCACGAAAGUGUGGGGAGCAACAGAUUAGAUACCCUGGUAGUCCACACCGUAAACGAUGGAUACUAGUGUAGUGAUGAUAGUCAUCUGUGCCGUCGNAAACGCAGUAGUAUCCCACCUGGGAGUACGNNGCA
rnacentral:rRNA from 1 species